rnacentral:rRNA from 1 species
AUUGAACGCUGGCGGCAGGCCUAACACAUGCAAGUCGAGCGGAUGAGUGGAGCUUGCUCCAUGAUUCAGCGGCGGACGGGUGAGUAAUGCCUAGGAAUCUGCCUGGUAGUGGGGGACAACGUUUCGAAAGGAACGCUAAUACCGCAUACGUCCUACGGGAGAAAGCAGGGGACCUUUGGGCCUUGCGCUAUCAGAUGAGCCUAGGUCGGAUUAGCUAGUAGGUGAGGUAAUGGCUCACCUAGGCGACGAUCCGUAACUGGUCUGAGAGGAUGAUCAGUCAAACUGGAACUGAGACACGGUCCAGACUCCUACGGGAGGCAGCAGUGGGGAAUAUUGGACAAUGGGCGAAAGCCUGAUCCAGCCAUGCCGCGUGUGUGAAGAAGGUCUUCGGAUUGUAAAGCACUUUAAGUUGGGAGGAAGGGCAGUAAGUUAAUACCUUGCUGUUUUGACGUUACCAACAGAAUAAGCACCGGCUAACUUCGUGCCAGCCGCCGCCGUAAUAC